AUUGAACGCUGGCGGCAGGCUUAACACAUGCAAGUCGAGCGGAGGCUUCGGUCUUAGCGGCGAACGGGUGAGUAAUACCUAGGAAUCUGCCUAUUAGUGGGGGAUAACGAAUCGAAAGGUUCGCUAAUACCGCAUACGUCCUACGGGGAGAAAGGGGGGGAUCUUCGGACCUCUCGCUAAUAGAUGAGCCUAGGCCGGAUUAGCUAGUUGGUAGGGUAAAGGCCUACCAAGGCGACGAUCUGUAGCUGGUCUGAGAGGAUGGCCAGCCACACUGGAACUGAGACACGGUCCAGACUCCUACGGGAGGCAGCAGUGGGGAAUAUUGGACAAUGGGGGCAACCCUGAUCCAGCCAUGCCGCGUGUGUGAAGAAGGCC
rnacentral:rRNA from 1 species